UCGUUAAGGGCAGCACAUACACUAAAAUUGGAACGAUACAGAGAAGAUUAGCAUACCCCCUGCACAAGGAUGACACACGAAUUUGUGAAGCGUUCCAUAUUUUU
rfam:Loxodonta africana unplaced genomic scaffold scaffold_8, whole genome shotgun sequence.